GAGACGCUCGAGCAGCCUUUCCGCAAGGAUCACGACUCGCUCGACGACGUCAGCCUUUUUUUGCUCCGCGAGUUCGCAGACAAGUUGGCUCUAUGCGACGCAGCCGAUCCCGCCACAUUAGUGCGCGAUCCAGUUUUAUGAACAGAGAAAAAGGAAUAGCAAGAAGACGCCGAUGGGAUACGAAGCUGCGCCAAGACCUCGGGAUCUAGACCCGCAGAACUGGCUCAGCCGCGCAAAUUUCUUCGUCCUCAACUUGCAAAGUCACAUGAUCGAUCUUGAACUUUUCCUCCAGNNNNNNNNNUUUCAGCACCGCUGCUGCGUCUUUCAUGUCGGUCACGACGAGAUGGCCGGUCAGGGAGUCC
rnacentral:misc_RNA from 1 species